AAUGUAUGACGUCGUUGACUUUUUGAUAAACGUUUGACCUUUCGUCUUAUUUAAAAAAUUUAUGUAAUUAUCAUUUAUUUUAUUGUGACUUAAUUUAUCAUCAAAUGUUCUUUAAGUAUGACAUAAGUAUUUUUAUAUUUAUAUAAAAAAAUUGAAUAAGACGAAUGGUCAAACGUUGGUUAAAAAAUCAACGGCGUCAUACAUU
rnacentral:pre_miRNA from 1 species